UCAGCUAGUAUUAUAUAUGUGUGUAACAUACAAUACUGUUAACAGCCUACCGUCAACUACCUACCUUAUUAUUAUUAUAAUCAUGACAAAAUAAACAUUGCACAAUGCACAUGUAUGGUAAUUUUUAAAUUUUGUAUUUAACUAUAUUUGACGACUGAUGUAGGCCUAUAUAAAGAAGUAUAAUAAUAUUACAGCAUGGACACCGCGAUACCAUCAUCACACUUCACGUUGAUAGACACCACGCAUAGUUCAAAACAAAGAAAAAGGUAUCAGAUUCACAAUUUCUGUAUAUUAAAUCUUGAUGAUAUUUAUCUGCUUACUAUUUUUUUUUUUAUUUUUUAGGUAAAACGAGUUCUACCAGACUGGCUCACCAAACCUACAACAGUUGUAUCGAUCGAUUCAAAACACCUAUAGAAGCGCUCACUUACGGCAUUCCAGACACCCCGCUUUAAUUCAGAAACUGGAAAAUGAAGGAUUUCAAAAUCAACUAUAGUACCAUGGAUAAUUAAGACACAAACACAUUUGGACUACAGAUGGCUCAGUGACGUAUGUAUUUCAGCAGCGACUGGCAGUUAAAAAAUUUUCUCUCAUGUUCUUCUUAAAAUUCAGGUUGGGCGUGCUCAUUCAAUGCAUUAAAACCAAAAUUUAUUCAGAA